UGUGUUAAUAUACAACAGAAGAUUCGAAAAUGGUGUGCUACUGAUUAUUCAGUGUAUUGAUUGUGUUUUGGAAGUCAACCAGAUGAAAUGGAUUAUUUCUUAUUUAAUGAGAUCAGCUAUGCCAGCUGUCAAACACAAAGCCUAGUAGCAUAUUAUGGCUUUUGCUUUCAAUCAUGUGAUAAAAUUAUUCAUUUAGAGGUAUAAGACAUGUAUUUUGCUACUAGGAUCCAUUUAGUCUCAUUCUACUUUCAAGGGAUAACUCGUGAAACUUUAUUUGCAAAGUAUAGAAGCUGUGACAGUGAGAAAAAUUUUAUCGUUUGAAUACCUUCGUCUGAUUUUGCAGCACUUUAUCCACUCACCAACUGUUAGGUUGUAUCUGACAAAUGUGAUUUGUACCUCUGUGAUCAUGUGGCCAAGAAAAAUCGCCACUGCUUCAGUAGUCCUCCUGCCAUUUGUACCUAACCGACCAACACACAGAGACAUGGACCUCAAAACUUUUUUCCUGUGAGGACUGCAAAGCUUUACUUUCUUCUUCGUAAUUCCUGGCCCCACAAUCUUUUUAGUCUUCGAGUAACAGCUAGCUAGGGCAUUUUCCCUUUUCGUCCCAUGUAAAAAGACCUUCAAGAUUCCGGUCUCUAAGUAUUAACUCUCUCAAGCCAUCUAAACAUAACGCCAUGACAGUAAAAUGAAAAAAAAGUGAUGGAAUGCCGAAUAGCAAAUAAGCAGUGGCCUGUAGAAGAUCAUCGUGGAACAUCGUGCAAAAUGUUGUUGUAUGGCCCGCCUUCGCCUCGCCCGUCGCCCCUUCUUCGCCUCGUGGUCGCGCCGUCUUCGCCUAGCCCG